rnacentral:rRNA from 1 species
AUACGGAGGGUGCGAGCGUUAAUCGGAAUUACUGGGCGUAAAGCGUGCGUAGGCGGUUUGUUAAGUCAGAUGUGAAAGCCCCGGGCUCAACCUGGGAACUGCAUUUGAUACUGCUGAACUAGAGUAUGGUAGAGGGAAGUGGAAUUCCGGGUGUAGCGGUGAAAUGCGUAGAUAUCCGGAGGAACACCAGUGGCGAAGGCGACUUCCUGGACCAAUACUGACGCUGAGGUGCGAAAGCGUGGGUAGCAAACAGGAUUAGAUACCCCAGUAGUCC